CAACAUUCAGAACGCUAGGGAAAAUUCCACUUAUAAAUCGAUGAAUUAUACUCAAAAACAAACGAACUUGUGCAUAUUGUGGUUGAGUGAGUUCAUUAACUCGGGUGGACACGGUGGUUGGUGGUUGGUGGUUGGACGCUCGAGCUGAUCCACAAACCGGCUCCGCUUGACUCGAACCAGAUCAUCGAUAUCGCUGAGAGAUCUUGAUAACUCGAUCCGGCCGUGGCCACGGAUUUCCUACAACAAUCGGGACAAAGAAGAAGAAGGACUUGCGGCCCACAGUCUGUUUUAGCAGAUGAUCUCCAAUUUCUAGUAUGGAGAAAUUGCUGUACCCUACGCCUACCGACUGACAACCAUUCCCGACCACGAGCUGCCAUACCGUCAUCAUACUCUUAGAAGUAACCUACAUUCUAUCUUAAAAUAAUCGGGGACCCAAAUCUAGUUUGAGAUUUAAUUUAUUGCCUUCCACUUUUCGCAACACAUGAUGUGCUUCUCAUUUCUCAAAGUAUAUAUCCAUCCACCCGAGGAUUGAGAUGUAAGAGUAGGCAUUGGAGAAAGUGCUGUUGAGCUAAAUGGAUCCACCUGGGAAGAAAGGCGAUAUAUGACCAAUUGAGGAGCAGCCCAACCACUUGAAAAUUGGGAGAAAAUCAUCCAAACCCAACC